AAUGUUGGAUAAGGAGAUGGAGAGAC
rnacentral:misc_RNA from 1 species